rnacentral:rRNA from 1 species
GAUGAACGCUAGCGGCAGGCUUAACACAUGCAAGUCGAGGGGUAACAGGAGUGCUUGCACUCGCUGACGACCGGCGCACGGGUGCGUAACGCGUAUAGAACCUACCUUUUACUGAGGGAUAGCCUUUAGAAAUGAAGAUUAAUACCUCAUGGUAUUGUAAACUGGCAUCGGUUUAUAAUUAAAGAUUUAUUGGUAAAAGAUGGCUAUGCGUCUUAUUAGCUAGAUGGUAAGGUAACGGCUUACCAUGGCAACGAUAAGUAGGGGCCCUGAGAGGGGGAUCCCCCACACUGGUACUGAGACACGGACCAGACUCCUACGGGAGGCAGCAGUGAGGAAUAUUGGGCAAUGGAGGCAACUCUGACCCAGCCAUGCCGCGUGCAGGAAGACUGCCCUAUGGGUUGUAAACUGCUUUUAUACAGGAAGAAACACACCUACGUGUAGGUGCUUGACGGUACUGUAAGAAUAAGCACCGGCUAACUCCGUGCCAGCAGCCGCGGUAAUACGGAGGGUGCAAGCGUUAUCCGGAAUCAUUGGGUUUAAAGGGUCCGCAGGCGGUCAAUUAAGUCAGAGGUGAAAUCCCAUAGCUUAACUAUGGAACUGCCUUUGAUACUGGUUGACUUGAGUUAUACGGAAGUAGAUAGAAUAAGUAGUGUAGCGGUGAAAUGCAUAGAUAUUACUUAGAAUACCGAUUGCGAAGGCAGUCUACUACGUAUAUACUGACGCUCA